rnacentral:rRNA from 1 species
CGGUUAUACUUUUAUAAUUUAAUAAUUAAAUUUAAAUAAAUUAAUAAUUAAAUUUUAUUAGUGAAAUAUUAAAUUUAAAUAAUUAAUUAAAAAUUUAAACUAGGAUUAGAUACCCUAUUAUUUUUUUAAUUUAAUUUUAAUGAUUGUUAUGAAUUAUUUAAAAAUUUAAAUAAUUUGGCAGUGUUGUUAAAAAUUAGAGGAUUUUGUUUAUUAAUUGAUGAUACACAAUAUAAUUUACUUAUUUUAAUUUAAUUGUAUAUUGUUGUUAAUUGAUUAUUUUAAUAAAAAAUAAUUUAAAUAUUUUUAUUAAUAAACUAUCAAAUCAUAAUUCAUUUUAUAAAUAAGAAUUUAAUGAAAUACAAUAAAUUUAUUUUUGAAUUUACUUUUUGUAAUAUAGUAAUGAAAUUGGAUUUAAAAUUAAA